rnacentral:lncRNA from 1 species
AUCUUGGAGCAGAAAUGCUUUAGAUUGAGAAUGAUCCUGCUUCCAUGGAAAUCAGUGGCAAGCCCGCAAGCGGUUGCUAGUCUGGUCUACGGAAACAGGGUCUUACUUCUUCUUUUAGGAACAAAGGGAGCACUGCUACUGGGAUACCUCUGACAGCUGGAAAAGCUGUUUCACAACACAUAUCUGCUGGUAAAUGUCAACUAAAAAAUCAGCUCUUCCAUAUCACCUGCCAUAGCACCUGUCUACAAGCUGCUUGCUGAGGUGGAGGAUGAAUGGGGCUAAUCCAGGCUCCAUGCCUUGCAUGGAUACAAGAUGGAGAGCAUUUCCAGGAUAUUCUCCCAAGAAGAUGGUUACCUGCUCUACUAAGGAGGCCACGUAGUUGUAGGUCUGAGAUGUAAACUUCUCUGUAGUUGUGGAUCUUGCAGCUACUGAGUGAGUGAGUGUUCAGCUCUUCCAGCAUCACAUAUUAGAAGAGAUGAAACAUCUGGACCUGAAACAACCACC